AAGGCUAGAAUGCCUUCAUUAGCUGAGUAAACGUAUUGAGUGUUAUGCUCUUGGAUCAAUAUCAGGCAUGAUUCUACCACAAUGAAAAAGAAAAACCCAGUUCCUGUUGUUUAGAGCCAUCAGAUGGAAAAAAAAUCUCAGCUAUGAGCAAGAUUGUCAAGUGGAGCCUAGUUGCAGUUGGCAUUGCCUGAUGAAGAAGAUGUCUCCUGAGAAGAAGGCUACUGUAAAACCAAUAACAUGAAGGUGAAUUUGGUUUGGAGCUCCACCUGUAGUCUCUUUGAAGACUGGUAUCUCCUGUCACCAAGAACAUUUACUAGUCUGAGAUGAGUCCUUGUGCAUGCUUGGAAAGAAAGGUGGAAAACUAGCUCUCUAUCAGAGGAUGCCUGGGACUCAUUUCAUGGCUGUCAGAGUUCCUUUACAAAAGGUUUUCAUGGAUGUAAGCUUAGAGCCCUCAGAAGAUGAGCAAGUUUCUCAAGGGUAUCCUAGUUGGAAUCAGAAUUACCUGAUGAAGAAGAUGUCCCUUGAGAGGAAAGCUACUCAAAACUAGUAACAUGAAGAUGAAUCUGUGGUUUGGAGCUCUACCUACAGUCUUUUUGAAGACUGGGAUCUCCUGUCGCCAAGAAAAAUGACUAGUUUGAAAUGAGUUCAUCUGCAAGCUUGGAAAGAAAGGUCUUUAAAGGACACAUAUCGUUGAAGUUAGGGCUCACUCUAAUAGUCAAAAAUAAUCUCCUCAUAUCAAGAUCUGUAAUCACAUCCAAAGACUCAUUUUCUACAAG